rnacentral:rRNA from 1 species
ACAUGCUAAAAACCUCGACUUCGGAAGGGGUGUAUUUAUUAGAUAAAAAACCAAUGCCCUUCGGGGCUCCUUGGUGAUUCAUAAUAACUCAACGAAUCGCAUGGCCUUGCGCCGGCGAUGGUUCAUUCAAAUUUCUGCCCUAUCAACUUUCGAUGGUAGGAUAGUGGCCUACCAUGGUUUCUACGGGUAACGGGGAAUUAGGGUUCUAUUCCGGAGAGGGAGCCUGAGAAACGGCUACCACAUCCAAGGAAGGCAGCAGGCGCGCAAAUUACCCAAUCCCGACACGGGGAGGUAGUGACAAUAAAUACUGAUACAGGGCUCUUUUGGGUCUUGUAAUUGGAAUGAGUACAAUUUAAAUCCCUUAACGAGGAACAAUUGGAGGGCAAGUCUGGUGCCAGCAGCCGCGGUAAUUCCAGCUCCAAUAGCGUAUAUUAAAGUUGUUGCAGUUAAAAAGCUCGUAGUUGAAACUUGGCCUUGGCUGACCGGUCCGCCUCACCGCGUGCACUGGUUCGGCCGGGGCUUUCCUUCUGGGGAUCCGCAUGGCCUUCAUUGGUUGUGUUGGGGAACCAGGACUUUUACUUUGAAAAAAUUAGAGUGUUCAAAGCAGGCCUAUGCUCGAAUACAUUAGCAUGGAAUAAUAGAAUAGGACGUGUGGUUCUAUUUUGUUGGUUUCUAGGACCGCCGUAAUGAUUAAUAGGGAUAGUCGGGGGCAUCAGUAUUCAAUUGUCAGAGGUGAAAUUCUUGGAUUUAUUGAAGACUAACUACUGCGAAAGCAUUUGCCAAGGAUGUUUUCAUUAAUCAGUGAACGAAAGUUAGGGGAUCGAAGACGAUCAGAUACCGUCGUAGUCUUAACCAUAAACUAUGCCGACUGGGGAUCGGACGGUGUUAUUAUUUUGACCCGUUCGGCACCCUACGAGAANNNNNNNNNNNNNNNNNNNNNNNNNNNNNNNNNNNNNNNNNNNNNNNUUAAAGACAUUGACGGAAGGGCACCACCAGGCGUGGAGCCUGCGGCUUAAUUUGACUCAACACGGGGAAACUCACCAGGUCCAGACAUAAUAAGGAUUGACAGAUUGAGAGCUCUUUCUUGAUUUUAUGGGU